rnacentral:rRNA from 1 species
UGCAAGUCGAACGAUGAAGCCCAGCUUGCUGGGUGGAUUAGUGGCGAACGGGUGAGUAACACGUGAGUAACCUGCCCCUGACUCUGGGAUAAGCCCGGGAAACUGGGUCUAAUACCGGAUAUGACUUUUGACCGCAUGGUUGAGGGUGGAAAGAUUUAUCGGUUGGGGAUGGACUCGCGGCCUAUCAGCUUGUUGGUGAGGUAAUGGCUCACCAAGGCGACGACGGGUAGCCGGCCUGAGAGGGUGACCGGCCACACUGGGACUGAGACACGGCCCAGACUCCUACGGGAGGCAGCAGUGGGGAAUAUUGCACAAUGGGCGCAAGCCUGAUGCAGCGACGCCGCGUGAGGGAUGACGGCCUUCGGGUUGUAAACCUCUUUCAGUAGGGAAGAAGCGAAAGUGACGGUACCUGCAGAAGAAGCGCCGGCUAACUACGUGCCAGCAGCCGCGGUAAUACGUAGGGCGCAAGCGUUAUCCGGAUUUAUUGGGCGUAAAGAGCUCGUAGGCGGUUUGUCGCGUCUAUCGUGAAAGUCCGAGGCUCAACCUCGGAUCUGCGGUGGGUACGGGCAGACUAGAGUGAUGUAGGGGAGACUGGAAUUCCUGGUGUAGCGGUGAAAUGCGCAGAUAUCAGGAGGAACACCGAUGGCGAAGGCAGGUCUCUGGGCAUUUACUGACGCUGAGGAGCGAAAGCAUGGGGAGCGAACAGGAUUAGAUACCCUGGUAGUCCAUGCCGUAAACGUUGGGCACUAGGUGUGGGGGACAUUCCACGUUUUCCGCGCCGUAGCUAACGC